GGCUUCUUGGUCGUGUGGUAAGGACACUUGCCUCUCACCCUGGAAUCCCAGGUUCGAUCCCUGGUCGAGGGGAGAGGAUU